rnacentral:lncRNA from 1 species
CUAGAUCUCUCCCCAUCAUCCAGCCAGCAAAUUCGAUCCAAUCCCCAUCGAUCCAUCGGGUCAAAUUCUGAUCUGAUCGAUUUCGGGUGCUUUGCAGGGGGUUCAUGCAGUCGUCGGCGGACGAGGCGCAGCUGCUGGGGAUGCUGAUCAAGAUGAGCGGCGCCAAGAACACGAUCGAGGUCGGCGUCUUCACGGGCUACUCGCUCCUGGCCACAGCCCUGGCCCUGCCUGAAGACGGCAAGGUGGUGGCCAUCGACCCGGACAGGGAGUGCUACGAGGUGGGGAAGCCAUUCAUCGAGAAGGCCGGGGUGGCGCACAAGGUGGACUUCCGCGAGGGCAAAGGGCUGGACCGCCUGGACGAGCUCCUGGCCGACCCGGCCAACGAAGGCAGCUUCGACUUCGCCUUCGUCGACGCCGACAAGCCCAACUACGUCAAGUACCACGAGCAGCUGCUCAAGCUGGUCAAGGUUGGGGGCACCAUCAUCUAUGAUAACACGCUCUGGGGCGGCACCGUCGCGCUCCCGGCCGGCACCCCCAUGUCCGACCUCGACGCC